CUACGGGGCGCAGCAGUGAGGAAUAUUGCACAAUGGGGGGAACCCUGAUGCAGCAACGCCGCGUGGAGGAUGACGCAUUUCGGUGUGUAAACUCCUUUUAUAUGUCAAGAAAAUGACGGUAGCAUAUGAAUAAGCACCGGCUAACUCCGUGCCAGCAGCCGCGGUAAUACGGAGGGUGCAAGCGUUACUCGGAAUCACUGGGCGUAAAGGAUGCGUAGGCUGGUUGGAAAGUCAGGUGUGAAAUCCUACAGCUUAACUGUAGAACUGCACUUGAAACUUCUAAUCUAGAGUAUGGGAGGGGGAGAUGGAAUUAGUGGUGUAGGGGUAAAAUCCGUAGAUAUCACUAGGAAUACCUAAAGCGAAGGCGAUCUCCUGGAACAUUACUGACGCUAAGGCGUGAAAGCGUGGGGAGCAAACAGGAUUAGAUACCCGGGUAGUC
rnacentral:rRNA from 1 species